rnacentral:rRNA from 1 species
AUGAAGCUCCUAUGCUGGAAUAUUAGGGGCUUCGGCAACCUAGGCCGCCGACGCCAGCUGAUUGACUACAUCCGACAGGAAGACAUCGAUAUUGUUGGCCUUCAAGAGACGGUUCGUCAGGACUUCUCCAUUCAGGAGCUUCAGGGGCUCUCUCGACACCCUUUUGCCUAG